rnacentral:rRNA from 1 species
GACGAACGCUGGCGGCGUGCUUAACACGUGCAAGUCGAACGGAAAGGCCCUGCUUUUGUGGGGUGCUCGAGUGGCGAACGGGUGAGUAACACGUGAGUAACCUGCCCUUGACUUUGGGAUAACUUCAGGAAACUGGGGCUAAUACCGGAUAGGAGCUCCUGCUGCAUGGUGGGGGUUGGAAAGUUUCGGCGGUUGGGGAUGGACUCGCGGCUUAUCAGCUUGUUGGUGGGGUAGUGGCUUACCAAGGCUUUGACGGGUAGCCGGCCUGAGAGGGUGACCGGCCACAUUGGGACUGAGAUACGGCCCAGACUCCUACGGGAGGCAGCAGUGGGGAAUAUUGCACAAUGGGCGGAAGCCUGAUGCAGCAACGCCGCGUGCGGGAUGACGGCCUUCGGGUUGUAAACCGCUUUCGCCUGUGACGAAGCGUGAGUGACGGUAAUGGGUAAAGAAGCACCGGCUAACUACGUGCCAGCAGCCGCGGUGAUACGUAGGGUGCGAGCGUUGUCCGGAUUUAUUGGGCGUAAAGGGCUCGUAGGUGGUUGAUCGCGUCGGAAGUGUAAUCUUGGGGCUUAACCCUGAGCGUGCUUUCGAUACGGGUUGACUUGAGGAAGGUAGGGGAGAAUGGAAUUCCUGGUGGAGCGGUGGAAUGCGCAGAUAUCAGGAGGAACACCAGUGGCGAAGGCGGUUCUCUGGGCCUUUCCUGACGCUGAGGAGCGAAAGCGUGGGGAGCGAACAGGCUUAGAUACCCUGGUAGUCCACGCUGUAAACGGUGGGUACUAGGUGUGGGGUCCAUUCCACGGGUUCCGUGCCGUAGCUAACGCUUUAAGUACCCCGCCUGGGGAGUACGGCCGCAAGGCUAAAACUCAAAGGAAUUGACGGGGCCCCGCACAAGCGGCGGAGCAUGCGGAUUAAUUCGAUGCAACGCGUAGAACCUUACCUGGGUUUGACAUGGAUCGGGAGUGCUCAGAGAUGGGUGUGCCUCUUUUGGGGUCGGUUCACAGGUGGUGCAUGCCUGUCGUCAGCUCGUGUCGUGAGAUGUUGGGUUAAGUCCCGCAACGAGCGCAACCCUUGUUCACUGUUGCCAGCACGUUAUGGUGGGGACUCAGUGGAGACCGCCGGGGUCAACUCGGAGGAAGGUGGGGAUGACGUCAAGUCCUCAUGCCCCUUAUGUCCAGGGCUUCACGCAUGCUACAAUGGCUGGUACAGAGAGUGGCGAGCCUGUGAGGGUGAGCGAAUCUCGGAAAGCCGGUCUCAGUUCGGAUUGGGGUCUGCAACUCGACCUCAUGAAGUCGGAGUCGCUAGUAAUCGCAGAUCAGCAACGCUGCGGUGAAUACGUUCCCGGG